UACGUAGGGUGCAAGCGUUGUCCGGAAUUAUUGGGCGUAAAGAGCUCGUAGGCGGUUUGUCGCGUCUGCUGUGAAAACUCGGGGCUCAACCCCGAGCUUGCAGUGGGUACGGGGCAGACUAGAGUGCGGUAGGGGAGACUGGAAUUCCUGGUGUAGCGGUGGAAUGCGCAGAUAUCAGGAGGAACACCGGUGGCGAAGGCGGGUCUCUGGGCCGUAACUGACGCUGAGGAGCGAAAGCAUGGGGAGCGAACAGG
rnacentral:rRNA from 1 species